rnacentral:rRNA from 1 species
UAUAGUUUGAUCAUGGCUCAGGACGAACGCUGGCUGGCGUGCCUAAUACAUGCAAGUCGAGCGAACAAGAAGGAGCUUGCUCCUUUGACGUUAGCGGCGGACGGGUGAGUAACACGUGGGCAACCUACCUUAUAGUUUGGGAUAACUCCGGGAAACCGGGGCUAAUACCGAAUAAUCUAUUUUACUUCAUGGUGAAAUACUGAAAGACGGUUUCGGCUGUCGCUAUAAGAUGGGCCCGCGGCGCAUUAGCUAGUUGGUGAGGUAAUAGGCUCACCAAGGCGACGAUGCGUAGCCGACCUGAGAGGGUAGAUACGGCCACACCAGGGACUGAGACACGGCCCAGACUCCUACGGGAGGC